AAGGCUAAAUACUCCUUAGUGACCGAUAGCGCAUAGUACUGUGAAGGAAAGGUGAAAAGGACCCCGGGAGGGGAGUGAAAGAGAACCUGAAACCAUAUGUUUACAAGCUGUGGAACAUCUUUAUAUGAUGAACCGCGUACUUUUUGUAGAACGGUCCGGCGAGUUACGCUGGCUGGCGAGGUUAAGCACUGAAGGUGUGGAGCCGAAGGGAAACCAAGUCUGAACAGGGCGAAAUAGUCAGUCGGAGUAGACCCGAAACCGGGUGAUCUAUCCAUGUCCAGGUUGAAGUUGCCGUAAAAGGCAAUGGAGGACCGAACCCACAUCCGUUGAAAAGGGUGGGGAUGAGGUGUGGAUAGGGGAGAAAUUCCAAUCGAACCCGGAGAUAGCUGGUUCUCCUCGAAAUAGCUUUAGGGCUAGCCUCAUGCAAGUCUUACGGAGGUAGAGCACUGAAUUCCUAAGGGGGCGUCAAAGCUUACCAAGGGAUAUCAAACUCCGAAUGCCGCGUAAAUGAUGUAUGGGAGUCAGACUGCACGAGAUAAGUUGGGCAGUCAAAAGGGAAAGAGCCCAGACCUACAGCUAAGGUCCCAAAGUGUGUGUUAAGUGGAAAAGGAUGUGGGAUUUCAAAGACAACUAGGAUGUUGGCUCAGAAGCAGCCACACAUUCAAAGAGUGCGUAAUAGCUCACUAGUCGAGAGGUCCUGCGCCGAAAAUGUCCGGGGCUGAAACACAACACCGAAGCUUGGGAAUGUCGUAAGACAUUGGUAGAGGAGCAUUCUCAGGACGGAGAAGCGGUACCGGUAAGGAGCCGUGGAGUGCUGAGAAGAGAGAAUGCCGGAAUGAGUAGCGAGAUGGAGGUGGGAAUCCUCCAGGCCGAAUAUCCAAGGUUUCCAGGGUAAAGCUGAUCUGCCCUGGGUAAGUCGGGGCCUAAGGCGAGGUCGAAAGACGUAGUCGAUGGAUAACAGGUAAAGAUUCCUGUACUAUAUCAUAACAGAACUGUGGGGACGCAGACAGAGAGCAUAAGCCGGGAAUGGAAAGACCGGUACAAGCGAGGUAGGAGUGCAUCAGGCAAAUCCGGUGCACAAUCUGAAGACGUGAUGUGGGGCGUAAAGCCAUAAGUAUGUGAGCUGGCUGCCAAGAAAAGCCGCUAUUGUUUAUGAUAUACCCGUACCGUAAACCGACACAGGUGGAUGAGGAGAGAAUCCUAAGGCCGACGGGAGAAGCAUUGUUAAGGAACUCGGCAAAAUGACCCCGUAACUUCGGGAGAAGGGGUGCCGCAGAGAUGUGGCCGCAGAGAAUAGGCUCAAGCAACUGUUUAGCAAAAACACAGGUCUAUGCAAAACCGAAAGGUGAGGUAUAUGGGCUGACGCCUGCCCGGUGCUGGAAGGUUAAGGGGAGAGGUUAGUCGUAAGGCGAAGCUUUGAACUUAAGCCCCAGUAAACGGCGGCCGUAACUAUAACGGUCCUAAGGUAGCGAAAUUCCUUGUCGGGUAAGUUCCGACCCGCACGAAAGGCGUAAUGAUUUGGGCACUGUCUCAACAAUGCACCCGGUGAAAUUGAAAUACCAGUGAAGAUGCUGGUUACCUGCGCCAGGACGGAAAGACCCCAUGGAGCUUUACUCCAGCUUGAUACUGGGAUUCGAUAUUGCAUGUACAGGAUAGGUGGGAGACUUUGAACUCAUGACGCCAGUCGUGAGGGAGUCACUGUUGGGAUACCACCCUUGUAGUAUUGGAUUUCUAACCAGCAGCCGUGAACCGGCUGGGGGACAAUGUCAGGUGGGGAGUUUGACUGGGGCGGUCGCCUCCGAAAGGGUAUCGGAGGCGCUCAAAGGUUCCCUCAGAAUGGUUGGAAACCAUUCGAAGAGUGCAAAGGCAGAAGGGAGCUUGACUGCGACACCGACGGGUGGAGCAGGUACGAAAGUAGGACUUAGUGAUCCGGUGGUAUAAAGUGGGAUUGCCAUCGCUCAACGGAUAAAAGCUACCCUGGGGAUAACAGGCUUAUCACUCCCAAGAGUUCACAUCGACGGAGUGGUUUGGCACCUCGAUGUCGGCUCAUCGCAUCCUGGGGCUGAAGUAGGUCCCAAGGGUUGGGCUGUUCGCCCAUUAAAGCGGUACGCGAGCUGGGUUCAGAACGUCGUGAGACAGUUCGGUCCCUAUCCGGCGUGGGCGUAGGAUAUUUGAGAGGAGCUGCCCUUAGUACGAGAGGACCGGGGUGGACUGGCCGCUGGUGGAUCUGUUGUAUUACCAAAUGCAUGGCAGAGUAGCCAAGCCGGGACGGGAUAAACGCUGAAGGCAUCUAAGCGUGAAGCCCCCCUCAAGAUGA
rnacentral:rRNA from 1 species